rnacentral:rRNA from 1 species
UACGGAGGAUGCAAGCGUUAUCCGGAAUUAUUGGGCGUAAAGCGUCCGCAGGUGGUUUAUCAAGUCUGCUGUCAAAGCGCGAGGCUUAACUUCGUAAAGGCAGUGGAAACUGAUAGACUGGAGUGCGGUAGGGGCAGAGGGAAUUCCCAGUGUAGCGGUGAAAUGCGUAGAUAUUGGGAAGAACACCGGUGGCGAAAGCGCUCUGCUGGGCCGCAACUGACACUAAUGGACGAAAGCUAGGGGAGCGAAUGGG